rnacentral:rRNA from 1 species
UACGUAGGGGGCAAGCGUUGUCCGGAAUCAUUGGGCGUAAAGAGCGUGUAGGCGGCUUGGUAAGUCCGCUGUGAAAGUCCAGGGCUCAACCCUGGAAUGCCGGUGGAAACUGUCAAGCUUGAGUCCGGAAGAGGCGAGUGGAAUUCCUGGUGUAGCGGUGAAAUGCGCAGAUAUCAGGAGGAACACCAAUGGCGAAGGCAGCUCGCUGGGACGGUACUGAUGCUGAGACGCGAAAGCGUGGGGAGCAAACAGG